GACGUAGGAUGCGAGCGUUGUUCGGAUUUAUUGGGCGUAAAGCGUACGUAGGCGGCUGCCUAAGUCUGGUGUUAAAGCUAGGGGCUCAACCCCUGUGAUGCACUGGAAACUGGGCAGCUUGAGAACGGUAGGGGAAGGUGGAAUUCCGAGUGUAGCGGUGAAAUGCGUAGAUAUUCGGAAGAACACCGGUGGCGAAGGCGACCUUCUGGGCCGUUUCUGACGCUGAGGUACGAAAGCCAGGGGAGCGAAAGGG
rnacentral:rRNA from 1 species